GAACACCACGCGCAGCUUCCGAAUCGCCAUAUCCGCGUCAAGUGAGGAAGAAGCGCCGGCGCCGAUCUAUGUGGAGAAAUCCCAGGUACUUCACGCCGAAUCCAGCCCUGGAGACGCGAAGAACGCGUGGUCAUCAUCAGGUACGGAAACAUUUUAUCCUUAUUUUUCAGCGAUUUAUUCAGGGUUUUGUUCGAUCCUUACCAAUUAGGCCUUAAUCGCAUCGAAACGGUUUCUGCCCACUCGCGAAGAAUCCGACGCAUACGCACGAAGGAUACGAAGCGAUCCACCGAAACAAACGACAUAAAAAUCCCCGCAAAUAAUAUCUCCUCAAUCCUCAGCUCUUAUUAUUAUUCUCCUUUACAAACCUACAUCAGAAUUAGCUCGACUUUUAAAGCAGGGGACGAGAAUAAAGUACUAGUACUAGGAUAAGUUUUUGACUAAUAAUAAUAGAAAUAGCAGGAGAGGAGUAGAAACCUCUUGAGAGCGCUUCGUGCUGUUUCCAAAAAGUGGUCAAAUGGAAUGGGUAGGGAUAGUAUUUAUACGAGAGAAUAAUUAAAUGCAUGGCGCAGUUAAUUAUUCCGUGGACCUGGAUCACCAUGGACCAGUACAUUAUAACUCGAUUGUAGUGGCUCUAAAAUCAAAUUUUAAUAACGAUUUCAAACUCACAAGUUAUGGCAUUCCAGAUUAAAUUAGUGUAGUUUGGAGAGUUUGAAAGAAUUUGGGAAUAAUUGGCUAAAUAAAACAUUUUAAUUUUUAUGUAAUUUUAUUAUAUCUCUUAUCGAAAUUACAAUAAAAUAGAGUAAUAUAUUUAAUAUAAUUCAUUUGGCAAUCUAUCUAUAUCUAUAUAUUUAUACAUUAUUCCUCAUAGCUUUCACCCUUGCCUUCUCUCCUCUUUUCACUUCUUGGUGCUUUGCCUUCCCAUCUUCCAUCUCUACCUAAUGUUUCGUCUCCAUCUCUGCCUAAUGUUUCGUUUUCUUACACAUUCACUUUCUAAUUAAUUCAUAUGGUCAAUUAUUAUAUGAACAAAUUAUUUUUACAAAAAAAAAAAGAGUAAAAUAAGAUCUUUUUAUACUCUUUUUUUUAUACUAUUUAAAUUUAUUGAUGUCUCAUUGUAACUCAAAAAUUUUAAAAUUGUUACUUUAUCAAUUUUUUAUCUUUUUUAUAGUAUUAAUCCGCCGCAAUUCGCGGGUAACUUCACUAGUUAUACAUAAAAUACCUAAAUUUUAGAGAUUAACUCAAUAUCUAGACUAGAUGAUAAUAAUAAGUUAGGAAAUUGCACUUUUGGUCAUCAAACUAUGAGGCGUGUGAACUUUUAAUUUCUCAAAUUUUAAUUUAUUGUGAUUUUUUAUUCGAAAAUUUUGAAUUAUUAUAAUCAAAUUUCACAAUUUAUUUUUUGAUAAAACAUUGAUGAAUUACUAAUGUAGAUAAUGUACACUAUCGUAAUAGAUAUAUUGUAAUAAUAAUUAAGAUUUUAUGUCAUGUUUAUACUCUAAAAUUUGAUUAUAAUAAUUCAAAAAAUGAUAAAUUAGUUUUUAAAAAUGGUUAAGAUCAUAUGCAGGUAUUUUUCAUAUUUUGUGUUAGAUAGUUUUUGUUAGGUGAAACGUGGUGAACUAGGUUCACGCCCAAAUCUGUCGUUUCCGGCGGUUAGGCAUGACGCAUGGCAUGAUAGAGUCCCAGCAGCAAGCGGUGUCGCGUGGGUCGGUUACCGUAUGAUUGACCGCCACGUGUAAGUCGUGAUUGCCACCACGGAAUCAUCUAGGCCGUUCAUGUGAUUGCGUUUGUUGGGGUUGUGCUUUUCGUGGGCCGCUUGCUUGGUUUCCAAGUAAACACCCGAGAACUUCGCUAUAUCGAAGGAGUCUGGUUAGUUUUUGAAUUAAAAAUAUAAAAGAUAAUUUUCUUCAUAUAAAUAAUAAUAAAAUUAAAUUCCUGUAUGUGAAAAUUUUGCAUGCACUCUGUUAUAUAGAAAAAACUUCAAAUAUCAUCUUUAUGGUUUUGUACGCUCUCACUUAGUACCCUAUGAUUUAAAAUGUAUCAAUUUAGUGCCCUAUGGUUUAAAGUGUAUCAAUUUAGUGCCAUAUGGUUUCACUUUUCUUUUUUAAUUAUCAAUUCUACUUUUUUUUUUUUUAACUCGAUGACAAAAUUAAAACUAAAGGGUACUAAAGUGAAUAUUCGAAAAAUCUAGGUGAGUAUCUGAAGUUUUUUUUAUAUAUAAUUUAACAAAAUAUUAAUGAAGAAGCUGACGAAAAGAGAAAAAGUAAACCACAUUGCACUAAAUUAAUACACUUUAAACCACAUGGUAUUAAAGUAAGAAACUACGAAAUUAUAAGGGUGAUAUUUGAAGUUUACCCUAUAUAAUAUAAUGACCAUCCGUUUUACCGUCCCGCAUAUAUAUAUAUAUAUAUAUAUAUAUAUAUAUAUAUACAAGCCGGCUAACAUAUUUUAAGUAUGUUUAUGUUGAGGAAAAGACUAGCAUGCGAUAGAUCGCUUAGCAAAGAAUGUAUCCAUCUAAAGGGUGAUCGACAAUAUAUUCUGCACAUGUGCCUGCACAAAAAUACUCAUAGUAAAAUUAACCUCCAUGUGCCUGCAUAUAGUAAUGCUCGUUUUGUUUGUUAUUAUUUGAGGCAAUAUGCAAUUAUAUCAUUUUUGAACAUCAUAAUAUCAAUUUCAACCAACAUAAAAAAACGAAAACAUCAUAAUCUCGGUUCGUGGGAGAGCCCAAAAUUUCUACUUUGGGCCUGUAAGUAAACAAGCUUUUUCAUUAAUUAGGCCAGGCCCGGACCUUCACUGUUCAAGAGGCAGCUUUAAAUUGCACAGGAUUUUUUUCCUUUUUUAGAGAAAGAAAAGUAGCAAGCUAAAACUUGAAAUUUUGGGUACCUAUUAUCAAGCUCUUAGCCAACGGCAUUAGUUUCGGUCGGUAAAAAAAAUACGUGACCACUCAAUAUUAUUCUUGAGUUUAUUGUCACAAAAACAUGUCAUUCUAUAUAUCGGAUGAAUUUAAAAAUUUUAGAAUGCACCAGCUAUAUUAGUGACGUGGCGUUUCUAACCAAUCAAUUGACUUCUUUUUUAUUUAUCCAUUCCAUCAUGAUUAUAAAAAAAAAAAAAAAUUGUAUUGUACUUAUUUUUCAAAAUGAGAGAUGUGAUUGGAUAUUUACUAUGUGGUGUAAGUGUGACACAGUAGACUUCUUUUAUGCUAACACUGUUAAUUUUGGGUGCCUACCAUCAAGUCCAAAAUUUAGGUCUACUUUGGGCCCGUAAUAAACAGGCUUUUUCAUUAAUUAGGUCAGGCCCGGACAUUCACUGUUCAAGAGGCAGCUUUAAAUUACACAGGAUUUUUUUUUCUUUUUUUUUAGAGAAAGAAAGGUAGCAAGUUGAAACUUGAAAUUUUGAGUACCCACCAUCAAGUUCUUAGCCAACUGUAUUAGUUUCGGUCGGUAAAAUCCUUAGCCAACUGCAUUACCUUUGGUCCGUAAAAGAACAGGGGAUAUAUGACCACGCCAUAUUGUUAUUGAGUUUGCUGUCACAAAAACAUGUCAUUCUAUAUAUAGGACGAAUGUGGUCGGUGGUAUUGGAUAUUCUAUCCGUGCAUGCAUUCAAGUUCACGCUAACACCAUUAUGACUCGGGUUUAACUCGAGAACUAUUUCUCUUGCACGCUCUUUUAAUCUGUACGUUCACUCUAUUCGUGCAGCAUCGAUCUCUUAAUUUGUGAUCGUACUGUUUUGGAAGAGUUCGUAUGCAUAUCCCUUACAUAGUUUUCAGAUCGAUAAUUUCAAGAGAUCUAGUUCCUGAUUUUAUUUUAUUUUUUUUAAUUUUUCAUCAUUAAAGUUCUUGGCAAGUUGCUACGUACAUUUACUAUAUCGACUUUUGUCUUACUACUAGCUAUAUGAGACAGUUUUGUCCGCUUAAGAUGCAACGUAUGUGUACGGUGCGCGUGCAUUCUUUUUUAAAAACUCUCAACACUUAAUUCUCAUUUACUACUGUUGUCUGUUAGGAAAAAAAAAAAAAAAAAGAGUUUGAUGGCUGGAAGUUAGGACUUACUCGCAGAUAGCCAUAUAAAAUUGAUUACUUUUUCCUGGAAAAGAAAAUUAAACUUUAAUAUAUAUUUGGCAUCCCAACUCGCAAGAGCUAUCUUUCAUCAUUUUUGAGUGACGGACAUCGAUCAAAUAGUGGAAGAGCAGUGAAGGGUUCAUGCUGGUAAUGUAAAUGAGUCUUUGGUGUAAAAACUCAGUUUUCCUGUUAAAAAAGAAAAGAAAAAAGAAACACAACUUUUAGUACAAUUGAUUGUAGGGAAUCAAAUAUGUUAAUUCUGGUCAAUUUACAUCUAUAUUCACUCUUCCUUGCCUAUGUAAUUAGCUAGCAUCUUUAGACGACACACGUGUAAUGAAUUUAUUUAGGUGAUGAUGAUCAAUGCCAUGUAAAUUUCGGUACAAAUUGUAAAGUUUAUGUCUAUGUACAAAUGGGCUAAAGUUUCUAAUAUUUUCAUAGGUCUUAGGCAUUGUCAUAGCUUCAAUCACGUGUGGCGUGAUUGACGCUCAUGCACCGAACAAUAAUAUAAUUUCUUCCGACAUAAGUACAGAGUCUUAACCAUGUGCAUUACAUAACACAUGUUAUUGUGAAAAAAUUAAUAUCUUCAACUUUGAAAUGCCGUAUUCGUUCAUCUCAUGUUACAUGUAGUCGGCAUUGGGCCCUUCUUGCAAUUAAUCACAUCCUUUUCGAGUCUUAAUGGUGCUCAGCAUCUCGAUCUCCUUAGCCUCCUUUUAAACGGCCAUUAAUAUUGCUUUUGACAACAUAAGGGAGGAAAUAUGUACAAGUAGGAACUCUACAAUGACCCUCCUCUCAUUGUAUGCAUCUACUCGUGGUCUCUGUGUUUUUGCGUGUUUGUUUAUUAUACAAUUAAUCUUUCUUUGACGUACGACACACCCACAUAAAUGAGAAAAUAACUGCAAGGAUUAUUAUAGCUAACAGAUCGAAAAAAAGUACACGCAUGUGGAUGUUAUGAUUCUGUGCAAGUGUUGAACUAAACUCUAUAAGUGCACCAGUGGUAGUAAUCUCGAAAGCUAAAAAUGCAAUGCCUUCUAAUAAGGUCAAAAGUGCAUGCUUUAAACGUUCCAUUUCACACAUUUUGAAAAAAGUGAAAACUGCACACAUUUUGAAAAAAGUGAAAACUGCAGGCGCAAAACCAUUUGCUGCGCUUCACUUUUCUGUUAGUGGUGAUGUCUAAGCUUGAGCUACGAGCUCUCAAAUUGCCCACCUAUUGCUGUCUCUAAAUCUCUAGAUUAGGUUCUUACAUCUUACAUCAUGCUUAUUUAAAGAUUGUUACUUUUUUCCCAUUUUUAUCAUUUUUUUUAAUUUAAAAAUUGAUGAAAUUUUGUAAAUUUUAAAAUGUAUGGAGUGUAAAGUUUUUAUACAUGUAAGUAGGUAUACAUGUAGCAUUUUUGUAGGUAAACACACAAAUUAACCUAUCUCACGUAAAGUUAAAAUAAAAGUGAAUAACAAUUAUAAUACUUUACUGACCGUCUCUAGCAUAAAUGUCAAAGAGUUUUAUGAUUGAUACCCUCCUAAGUUCGAAAUCUAAUUAUUAUAUAUUUUUAAUUAAAUUUAUUUUUUAAAAAAUAAUCAAAGCGAUUGGAAUGCUAUUUUUUUUUAAAAAAAAUAAUAAUAAUUUCACUACUUUUCCUUCGUUCAUACAUGGUGAACAAGUACUGAUCAAGUGAUCAUCAAAUCAGAAUAACAGUAUCUCAUAGACAGCGUGGGGCUCGCGCCACUAUACUGAUAGUUGCGCCGGUCGGGAAUAACUAUUGCCCGAGACAGCGAUGCUAUCCGUACAUCAAUUUCUAAAGUAUUAAUUUUAUAUUCUAUUCAUUCAUAAAUUUGCAUCCGUGUAUAUAUAUAUAUAUAUAAUAUAUAUAUAAUAGAGGAGAGAGAUUAGGCUGGAAUAUUAUUAAUAGUAAAACAUUCUUUUUGCUAUCAAGUUUUUAACCUUGGAUGAAAAAUUGUAGAUAGGAUGAUAUUAGUCAGUUAGAGUUGAGUGGUCCUCACUGGGUGUUAUAGUAUUUAACCAAUGUUAGAAUAAUAAAAGAUGUUGAUCCAAGGCUGAAAAACUGGUAACAACCAUGAGGAUUUUGUUAUUAAAUAGUAGCUCAGUCAACAACUAAUAUUUAUAUAUAUAUAUAUAUAUUAUAUAUAUAUAUAUAUAUAUACUAUAUAUUAUAUAUAUAUAUAAUAGGCUACUAUACUAUCUAUAGUUACGAGCUCCGGUACUAUAGUGUUUGUUUUCGAUCUUAGGGCGUUCAAUCAACGAUCCACACCGUUAAAAUGAUCUAGGGUAUAUGAAUGUCUUAGGAAUAAAAUUUAGUUUUUUUUCGAUAUCGUUUACUUAGUAAAUAAAUUAAUAUCAAAAUGGACGGUGAAAUUGAAUAAUAUCUUUAAAAAUUUGAGUAUAGGACUUUUAAAUUCAAGAUCAAGAAUGGUUAACCUUAAUCUAUAUAGUUUAAAGUAUUUUCUAUCAAAAUUUGAAGAAUUUAGAUUCUCUACACCGUUAGAAACUCCAAACUUGUCAUAAUACCAUUGAAAAUUGACAAUUUUGAAAUAGUUGAUCAUAAAGUAAACUCUGUCGAAAAAUAUAAAAUUUUAUUUCUAGAACUUUAAUACCCUAAAUCAGUUUUAACGGUGUGGAUCAUUGAUUUGAACUCCUAAAUCGAAAACCAACACUAUAGUACCGGAGUCCGGUACUAUAGAUAUAUAGUAGCCUAGCUCUCUCUCUCUCUCUCUUCUCUCUCUUAUGUAAUAUAUAUAAUAUAUAGAGGUGUGGCUACUAUGUUAUCGGAAGCCACGGAGCCUUCCGUGCUUCUAAGCCGUUUUUGAUGUUGCGAUUUCGAAUCGUCGAUCGGGCCCUCGUAAACUUGAUCUAGAGUAUUUGAAAUAUCUGUAGAAAAUAAAUUUUAUGAUUUUACGAUAUCAUUUGCCUAGUGAACGAAGGGUGCUCAAAAUCAACGGCUGAAAAAAAAUUUUUACAAAAUAUGAUAAUACGACAUUAAAUUUUUAAAUCAAAGAUAUUGAUCUUGUUUUAUAUAGUAUAAAAGAAUUUCUAUCAAAAUUUCACGUGAUUUGGAUAUUUUAACCGUUAAACUUGCAAAAGGCUCACUACGACCAUUGAAAUUUGUUGAUUUUGAGCGCCAUUCGAUCACUAGCAUAUAUAAUCGAAAAAUAAUAAAAUUUAUUUCUAGGUACUCCAAAUACUCUAGAUCAAGUUUAACGGAGCGAUCGGACGAUUCGAAGUGCAAACAUCGAAAACGAGCUGGGGUCCCGUGCUUCCUGGAUAGCAUAGUAGCCUCACUCUAUAUAUAUAUAUAUAUAUAUAUAUAUAUAUAUAUAUAUAUAUAUAUAUAUAUAUAUAUAUAUAUAUGAGUGCGUUGGUAUGCUUAUGGAAGCACGGAGCCCUCCGUGCUUCCAAGUUGUUUUCGAUGUUCGGACUUUCGAACCAACGAUCGGCUCCAUUAGAGUUGAUCUAGAGUAUUUGAAGUACUUAGAAAAUAAAUUUUGUGAUUUUUCGAUAUCAUUUGCCUAUUGAUCGAAUGGGCUCAAAAUUAAUAAUUUUAAUGACCGUGGUGAGCCGGUUGCAAGUUUAACGGUGUAGAAAUAUCCAAAUUACAUGAAAUUUUGAUAGAAAAUUCUUUAUACCAUAUAAAACAAGAUUAAUAACUUUGAUCUAAAAUUUUAAUGUCAUAUCAUCAUAUUUUGUAAGAUUUUUAUUUUCAGCCGUUGAUUUUGAGCCACUUCGAUCACUAGGCAAAUGAUAUCAAAAAAUCGCAAAAUUUAUUUUCUAGAUACUUCAAAUACUCUAGAUCAAGUCUAACGGAGCCGAUCGUCGAUUUGAAAGUCUGAAUAUCGAAAACAAAGUGGAAGCACGGAGCCCUCCGUGCUUCCAUAAGCAUCCUAGCCGCACUCAUAUAUGAGUGGGCUGGUAUAUAUAGAGUCCGGCUAUGGUGCUUGUACAAGCACCAAGCACUUGAUGCUUGUAAAUUUUUUACCGUUAGAUUUAUACUUUUGAUUAUUUUUAUCCGUUAGAUUAUACUAUUCAACCAACCACCCACUCAACCCUAGGGGGCCUACAUCAUCUUAACCGCACAUCCCUUAAUCCAAGGGCCAAAAACUUACAAGCACCAAUAAUUUGGUACUCUUAAAAGUACAAGAGCUCAAUUCUCUCUCUCUCUCUCUAUAUAUAUAUAAUAUUAUUCAUUCAAAUAUAUAUUGCCGUAUAAAAUUUGCACUUGUUUGCUUUAGAUAAACAGAUAUAUUUGUGUGUCUAGAAGUCAGGUAUAAAUUUUAGGGUAAACUUCAAAUACCCCCAUUGUGGUUUCAUAUUUUCUUAUUUUAGUACCAUAUGGUUUAAAGUGUAUCAAGCUAGCCCCUAUAGUUUCGCACUUUCUCACUUUAGUAUCCCGUGGUUUAAAGUGUAUCAAGUUAAUACCCUGUGGUUUUAUUUUUCUUCUUUUACUAUCUAUUUUACUAAUUUUUUUUGUUAAAUAAGUGACAAUAUUAAAAUUUAAGGGUACUAAAGUAAAUAUUCGUUAAAUCUAGGUAGGGUAUCUGAAGUUUUUUGUAUAUAAUUUAACGAAAUAUUAACGAAGGAAAAAAAAAUAGUAACAAAGUUAAAACUCAAGGGUACUAAAGUAAAUAUUCGAUAAAUUUAGAUAAGGUGUUUGAAAUUUUUGUAUACAAUUUAACAAAAUAUUAAUAGAGCAGCCGACGAAAAGAAAAAAAUAAAACGACAGACUAUUAAAUUAAUACACUUUAAAGUAUAGAAUACUAAAGUGAAAAAAAAAACUAUAAAAUACUAAGUUAACAUACUUUAAACUACAGAAUAAUAAAAUAAAAAAAAUACAAAAUCAUGUGAUGGUAUUUGAAGUUUUUCCCAUUUUAUAUUCUACUCAGCUAAAAGAAUACCUUAAUUAUAGAUUCCACUACCGGUACUAACCAGCAUUUUACGUGCUGUUUUAUUCGUAACAGCACCAGAGUCUAACCACGGGCUUCCGUACCAUCACCGACGAAAAGCGGCUGCCGCGUGGAAAUCAGCGGGCGGAGUGGAUCGAGUUCGUGGCCUCUCUCUCUCUCUCUCUCUCUCUCUCUCUCUCUGUUGCAGCCCCUUAUUAUAACUCCUCAUGAGUCACACGGAUCGUUUCUAGAGCAAAUAACAAAAAAUUUAAUUAUUAAUAUUUAAAAUUUUAAAUUUAAAUUAUAAUUAAUUUAUAUUUUUAACUAAAUAAAAUAAAUAAAAUAAUGAC
rnacentral:lncRNA from 1 species